GAUGAACGCUAGCGGCAGGCCUAACACAUGCAAGUCGAGGGGCAGCACAGAAACAGCAAUGUUUUGGUGGCGACCGGCGGACGGGUGCGUAACGCGUAUGCAACCUACCUUUAACAGGGGGAUAACGGAGAGAAAUUUCCACUAAUACCCCAUAACAUCGAUCAAGGCAUCUUGAUUGGUUGAAAAGUCAGGUGGUUAAAGAUGGGCAUGCGUUGGAUUAGGUAGUUGGUGAGGUAAUGGCUCACCAAGCCUACGAUACAUAGGGGGAGUGAGAGGUUAGCCCCCCACACUGGUACUGAGACACGGACCAGACUCCUACGGGAGGCAGCAGUGAGGAAUAUUGGUCAAUGGGGGCAACCCUGAACCAGCCAUGCCGCGUGCAGGAAGACGGCUCUAUGAGUUGUAAACUGCUUUUAAACAGGGAUAAAGCACAGUAUGUAUACUGUGUUGAAGGUACUGUAAGAAUAAGGAUCGGCUAACUCCGUGCCAGCAGCCGCAGUAA
rnacentral:rRNA from 1 species